rnacentral:rRNA from 1 species
UACGAAGGGGGCUAGCGUUGCUCGGAAUUACUGGGCGUAAAGGGCGCGUAGGCGGACAGUUUAGUCAGAGGUGAAAGCCCAGGGCUCAACCUUGGAAUUGCCUUUGAUACUGGCUGUCUUGAGUUCGGGAGAGGUGAGUGGAAUGCCGAGUGUGGAGGUGAAAUUCGUAGAUAUUCGGCGGAACACCAGUGGCGAAGGCGACUCACUGGCCCGAUACUGACGCUGAGGCGCGAAAGCGUGGGGAGCAAACAGG